rnacentral:rRNA from 1 species
AUUGAACGCUGGCGGCAGGCCUAACACAUGCAAGUCGAACGAGUGGCGGACGGGUGAGUAAUGUCUGGGAACCUGCCUGAUGGAGGGGGAUAACUACUGGAAACGGUAGCUAAUACCGCAUACCCUCCGUUUUGCCCCGAUGGGAUUAGCGUGUUGGGGGGGUAACGGCUCACCAAGGAGACGAUCCCUAGCUGGUCUGCGAGGAUGACCAGCCAAACUGGAACUGAGAAACGGUCACGACUCCGACGGGAGGCAGCAGUGGGGAAGAUUGCACAAUGGGCGAAAGCCUGACGCAGCCAUGCCGCGUGUAUGAAGAAGGCCUUCGGGUUGUAAAGUACUUUCAGCGGGGAGGCGUUACCCGCAGAAGAAGCACCGGCUAACUCCGUGCCAGCAGCCGCGGUAAUUC